rnacentral:rRNA from 1 species
UAGAGUUUGAUUAUGGCUCAGAUUGAACGCUGGCGGCAGGCCUAACACAUGCAAGUCGAGCGGUAGCACAGAGAGCUUGCUCUCGGGUGACGAGCGGCGGACGGGUGAGUAAUGUCUGGGAAACUGCCUGAUGGAGGGGGAUAACUACUGGAAACGGUAGCUAAUACCGCAUUACGUCGCAAGACCAAAGUGGGGGACCUUCGGGCCUCAUGCCAUCAGAUGUGCCCAGAUGGGAUUAGCUAGUAGGUGAGGUAACGGCUCACCUAGGCGACGAUCCCUAGCUGGUCUGAGAGGAUGACCAGCCACACUGGAACUGAGACACGGUCCAGACUCCUACGGGAGGCAGCAGUGGGGAAUAUUGCACAAUGGGCGCAAGCCUGAUGCAGCCAUGCCGCGUGUGUGAAGAAGGCCUUCGGGUUGUAAAGCACUUUCAGCGGGGAGGAAGGCGGUGAGGUUAAUAACCUCAUCGAUUGACGUUACCCGCAGAAGAAGCACCGGCUAACUCCGUGCCAGCAGCCGCGGUAAUACGGAGGGUGCAAGCGUUAAUCGGAAUUACUGGGCGUAAAGCGCACGCAGGCGGUCUGUCAAGUCGGAUGUGAAAUCCCCGGGCUCAACCUGGGAACUGCAUUCGAAACUGGCAGGCUAGAGUCUUGUAGAGGGGGGUAGAAUUCCAGGUGUAGCGGUGAAAUGCGUAGAGAUCUGGAGGAAUACCGGUGGCGAAGGCGGCCCCCUGGACAAAGACUGACGCUCAGGUGCGAAAGCGUGGGGAGCAAACAGGAUUAGAUACCCUGGUAGUCCACGCCGUAAACGAUGUCGAUUUGGAGGUUGUGCCCUUGAGGCGUGGCUUCCGGAGCUAACGCGUUAAAUCGACCGCCUGGGGAGUACGGCCGCAAGGUUAAAACUCAAAUGAAUUGACGGGGGCCCGCACAAGCGGUGGAGCAUGUGGUUUAAUUCGAUGCAACGCGAAGAACCUUACCUGGUCUUGACAUCCACAGAACUUUCCAGAGAUGGAUUGGUGCCUUCGGGAACUGUGAGACAGGUGCUGCAUGGCUGUCGUCAGCUCGUGUUGUGAAAUGUUGGGUUAAGUCCCGCAACGAGCGCAACCCUUAUCCUUUGUUGCCAGCGGUUAGGCCGGGAACUCAAAGGAGACUGCCAGUGAUAAACUGGAGGAAGGUGGGGAUGACGUCAAGUCAUCAUGGCCCUUACGACCAGGGCUACACACGUGCUACAAUGGCAUAUACAAAGAGAAGCGACCUCGCGAGAGCAAGCGGACCUCAUAAAGUAUGUCGUAGUCCGGAUUGGAGUCUGCAACUCGACUCCAUGAAGUCGGAAUCGCUAGUAAUCGUAGAUCAGAAUGCUACGGUGAAUACGUUCCCGGGCCUUGUACACACCGGCCGUUA